ACUCUUAACCUCUAGCCACACCACCCAAUUCAUCACACUACAAACCAAAUUCCACAUCGAGCCCAACCCAAUCUCAUCGCAUCCACAGUCCCUCAAGCACGAUUCACAUCCAAUUGAGCCGCUUCCUCACCCCAAUUGGCCAUCUAUCCUCAACCAUAACCUAGCCUAUCCGCCAAAGAAAGAAGAAAAGAAAAAGGAGUCAUCGCCUUUCCCAAGAUCUUCUCCCCCAUCACGCCCCUGCUGUGCCACUACGGUGUCUCCCUAAAAGCUGACGCCAUUGGCCAGUGUGCCUCUCAACCAUUCCCAUCAAAGGUGGACAAGUUGGAGUACGAAUGGCAUUACCACCAGAGAACUACAUGCGAUUUGAUCCAGGAACCGGAUUGAUGUGCUUAGCUAUCUUGGAGUCUUUUGAUGGUUUGUUAGCGUUGCGCGGCUUCAGGCAGCAAAAUAUGCACAUCUUCCAUGAUCUGGAGAAUGAAAUGCUGUCAUUUAUUCAUGAAACUGUGGUAAGCUGUGAAUCUCCGAAGAAACAGCGAGCUCAGUCGUAAAGAAAGGUUCGCUCUGAUAACUCAAAAGGAUCUUAUCUCAAGUUGCUACAAGUUGCAGGUAACCCUUUAUUUAUGAUGUAGUGAACCUAAAUAUCAUGAAAAAAUAAUGGAAAAGGAUUUUCUUUAAAAAAGAAGAAAAACAGAGAAGGGUGUAUUUGAUGUGCGUAUCUUGCAUUGUGGUUACCAUUUGAUAUAAAGGUUGCAGGAGACCGCAUGUUCGCUACGAAUAGAAGGCCAACACACUUUUGUAACGAACAUCUCAGGUGACAUCAUUGGAUCGUGGCGCUGACAUUAGGGGCAUGUUUGGUGAAGGGAGUUGGAGUCUGAAAUCGGAAUGGGAAUGAGUAAUUCCCAUUCUUUUGGUUGAGGGGAGUUUUAUUCCGAUUUCGAUUCUAAAGGAAAUGAAAAUCUCCAAUCCUCCGGACCCAAUUCCUACUCUCUCCUAAUAUUUAAAUUUCAUUCUGAUUUCGAUUUUAAUUCAGGUCAAAACCAAACACAUCGAAGGAUGUGGCCAUUCUAAUUCUCCUUCCAAUCCAUUUUAAUUUCAAUUUUGAUUUCAAUUCUGGUCAUAAACUAAACAUGUCCUAGAAGAAACUUGCUAGGAUUAAUCUGUUACUUAUAACUGUCUCCUUGGAGUCCGAGGUAGGAAUUUGAUUUGGAGUAGGAAAUGAUGGCUAUAUUAGAAUGGAUAUAGAUGUGAAUCAGUUUGGUUUAUUGUUAAUUUUUGUGAAGAAAGGAUCCUAGAAUUAGUAGACAUAGUAAAUCAGCCCACGAUGCUAGGAAAUAAAAUGGAAAAAUUAGAAUUAAGUUUUAAAAAUAGAACUUAAAAUACAAAUAAUGAUUCAGUUAUUGAUAUAUAAAUAUAUCAUUUAAAAAUAAAGAAAAUGUGAUAAGAACAAAAAAUAAUUACUAUUAUAAUCGAUGUUUGAAAAGCAUGUGAAGGUUUCAAAUAAAUAAGCCAAUAUUAUAUUUUUCCAAAAAAGCAAUAUUAGACAAUAAGUUGAGAGAUAAAAGAAAUGGUAAUUAGUAUAAAAUAAUUAUAAGAAUUCUAAAAUGCUACUUAAAUGAUUGACCAAAUCAACAAAUUCAUAUAGUAUAUUUGAUGAAAUCAAAAGAAAGAAAAGGAAAAUAUCAAACAGCAAAAUAACAAAAAAGUUUCAAAUCUAAACUUCCCUAAUCUAACUCCAACUUGACUUUUAGAGUAAAACUGAUAGAUUAAAUAGUGAUCGAAAUCUUUUACCCAAAAAAGUAGAGAUCCAAUUUAAAACAGCCUCAAAUUGAGACAGAUACAGGUCUUAUCUAUGGGGCUCGGCUCAACAAAAUUCAAAUGCAUCUGGUUUGAUGCGAUAAUAAUUAGUUAAAAAUUCUAAGCCAAGCUUUGUUAUGGUGCAUUAUCAAACUUAAGGCAGAACAAAAUGAUUUAGCGCACCUUUUUUCCGAUCCAUCAAAUAUAAGACUAUAUCUUAGACAUUCUAUAAAAUAUUGACCUCCUUUACCACUUAAUAGCACUUUCUAAAGAACUUUAAAAAAGAAACCAAAAUCUAGAUUCUCUUGAAAGUGUUUUUUUUUUUCCUGCUGCUUCUUGUAGAAGCACUUCUUAGAUCUUGCUGCCAAAUGUUUAUUAUUUUAGAAAGUACUACUGAAACAUUGUAAAAAAAUUAUUUUAAGCAACACUAAGCCACCAAACAUGUAAGUCUUGCUUGAGCACAUAUACCAUUAUGAUGAAGGUUAGGUAAUCCUUAGUCCAUGCGAGAUCAAAGUAACACAUCACAAAACAUAAACUAAAAGAUAAGUUUUAAUCAGAAGCAAUUAUAUCAAACUAAAAGCAAAAUUAUAAGAAAACAAGUAGAAACAAGUAGAAACUAGAACUGGAAAAGAAUUUUAUAAGCUACACUAGACAAUUGGAGUAACAAGAACUUCUUGCACUUUUCCUUCCUCUUUCAACCUCGUAUCUUCAAUUUUUGUAGGACCUUGAUAAGACCGGCCGCUUAUCGAUUGCCUCUACUGAGCCGCUGUCUUGCACUAUGAGCUCUUAAACAGUCUCAUUCUCUGAUUAAUUGAUUACUAAGUAUAAUGAGACGGGAUAUAAAAGAGAUUUUCUAAACCAAUAAGUUUUCCUAAUCCUCAAAGGAUACAAUUUACUGAAAACAAGAAAAAUUGACUAAAAAUAAAAGAAUGUCAUCCUUAAAUUAAUAUGUUUUGGAAUGUAUUUUCUUACAUAUUUGAAACUUUGUCAACAUUGACACGCCUUCAAUAAAUUAUCCAUAUCUCUCUAUUUCAAUCUCAUAUUUUGGAGGAUUCAAGAUGCAUUGGAUUGGAAUGAUUGCUUUAUGGAGGACGUCAUAGAGGUGGUCUUAACAGAAAAUUCUGACUACGUCAAUGCUAGUAAGUAAUAACGUUAUCUUUCGAACUAAUAUAUAUGAGACUGUUCUUUUCAAUUCAUCUUAAUAUAAUCUUCAACAUUUAAGUCUAAUAGGUACUUAUGAGUCAAGUGUCACCUUAUAUCCUUUCAUAGAAUCAUGCUAGAAGCAUGGUGUUUAUCCAGAGUAUAUUCCAUUCCAGAGUAGAUUUUAGCAUGAAUUGCAAGAAACGGGCUCUCAAGCUUAUUUAAACGCAGAUUUUGAUGUAGCCACUCAAUUCUUUUAUUUCCAUCGCUUGUGUGACCCUUACGAGGCCUCCUUGGUUCAGGAAUGUGGCAAGUAUAUUACUCAUUAGGGUUUCCGCCAUGCUUAGAUUCCCUACUUAGUCAUGAAGCCCUUGUAGGUUUUCAUCCAUCCCAAUUUAUUAUUUCUAGUGUUCUUUCACUUUUUAUCCUUUCAAAUUUUCACUACGUCCUAACAAGUUUUCACCAUAACCAUUUUACUUGGGGCCACUUUUUUUGUUCGUUUUUGAAGAGAGACUCCACACUAUGAUCGGAGUCGACUCACUACAAUGAUAGACGAUGUAUGCGGUUCUAGAGUAUGCUUUACAUCUUAAAACUGUUUUCUAAUAAAGCACAUUGGUGUACCAUUUUCAUAUUAUAUUUAGGAAUCAGCAAACCUUUUUCGUUAUCCUUGUGCUUGGCAAGAAUUACUCCUUGCAUAAUGGGAAUAUUAUCCAGUUUUAA